GACGGCGAUGGAGUUCGCCACAACCGCCUAAAUCUCGGGCUGAUGACUCCUACCAGU
rnacentral:ncRNA from 1 species